rnacentral:sRNA from 1 species
CCUUAGAUGUUCUGGGCCGCACGCGCGCUACACUGAUGAAGUCAGCGAGUAUUUUUCCUUGGCCGGAAGGUCCGGGUAAUCUUUUGAAACUUCAUCGUGCUGGGGAUAGUCCAUUGCAAUUAUUGGACUUCAACGAGGAAUUCCUAGUAAGCGCGAGUCAUCAGCUCGCGUUGAUUACGUCCCUGCCCUUUGUACACACCGCCCGUCGCUACUACCGAUUGAAUGGCUUAGUGAGACCUCCGGAUCGCGGCCCAGCUGGCUGGUAACGGCCAGGCAGGGAUCUUUGAGAAGUUGGUCAAACUUGGUCAUUUAGAGGAAGUAAAAGUCGUAACAAGGUUUCCGUAGGUGAACCUGCGGAAGGAUCAUCACAAAAAGAAAGUAUUAAAAUGUGGGGGGUGGGUUGGAUUGAAAAAACUGGUUAAGGCGAGCUUUGCGUCCCGUCUCUUUGGUUGAAGAGAUGGGAACGAGUUCACACCUCCUGUUUCGGAAAAGACCCCCCGAGGAAAUGAGAGAGAUGACAAAGCCACAGGCGGCAAUUUCGCCGCCGCUCGUGCCGGAUUGCGGGCGAACAACCCGGCUACCGGCGCUGCUCUUUUCCCGUGCUCUUGUGGAUUUCCACUUUUUACUCUUUUUCUUCUGAUGCGCUAAGGGUGCUUUGGUGCACCCGACAAAAAAUGCGGAUAACUUUUAACAAUGGAUCUCUUGGCUCUCGCAUCGAUGAAGGACGCAGCGAAAUGCGAUAGGUAGUGUGAAUUGCAGAAUUCAGUGAAUCAUCGAAUCUUUGAACGCACAUUGCGCCCUCUGGUUAUCCCAGAGGGCACUCUUGUUUGAAGCCCCGGAAAGGACGGUCGCUUUGCGGCCAGGUUGCUGGACGUGCAAAAGUUUGGGGGUCAUUCCGGAACAGCGUUGAGGCCUUCCUCCGCAUCCAAGUCUGACAAACCCGAGCAGCUCCCGGGAGAAGGGUCCGCGAGGGAAUGCGGUUUCCCGCGUUUUUUUUUCGCGUCUGAACGUGUGUGCUUCCGUUCACACGAUCCCCCCGGUGAUUCCAGGCCCAACAGGCACGCCGUCGUAAUGAGCAUCGACGGUGUACAUUGGUAUUAUACGUAUCAAGUCAAACGACAAUACCUAUAAUACUAAUGUAUAUAACUAUAUUACGUGUUCUCAUGCGGCCCGGUCGUCCCAAAUGUAUCCCUCUACGUCGCCGGUGAAUAGCGCUCCCUCUGUUACCUCUUUCUGUUGCUUUUCUGCGCGUUUGGUGCUUUCGUUAGGGUGUACUAUAUGUGCUUUUUAGUAUAUAGAAGGUUGGUGUCGCUUUGCAGUUUCUUAGGUAGUUAGAGAUUUCAGAACGACAGGGAGCGGAAGUAGCCACAUGGCAAAAAAUGACGUUCAGGCCAAUUUUAUUUCACCAGAAUGGAAGGGGGUUUCAAAUCAAGAGGGAUUACCCGCUGAACUUAA